ensembl:lncRNA
UUUUAGUCAAGAGGCAGCGAAAGAAGACGUCUUCAGCGGACAAAGCUGAGCAGCCUAAAAAGAGACGUAAAACAAGCAAAGAAGCUGAAACACAGGACUCUUCAGAGGGAACCGACAAAAAGCAAAGAAGGCAGAAACCCGACGGAGACUCCAAGGAACCCAAGAAGAAGAAGAAGACGACAGCGAAACUCAAAGCUCUCCUCCCCGAGAACCAAGACGCAGAGAAGCCAGAGCGCAGUAGGAAAAGGAAGCAGGACGGGGGGAACGCGAGCGCCCCCUCCACGGCCAAGAGAAGGCGGCUCACGCCGUGUCA